rnacentral:rRNA from 1 species
CCUACGGGUGGCAGCAGUGGGGAAUAUUGCACAAUGGGGGGAACCCUGAUGCAGCGACGCCGCGUGAGUGAAGAAGUAUUUCGGUAUGUAAAGCUCUAUCAGCAGGGAAGAAGAUGACGGUACCUGCCUAAGAAGCCCCGGCUAACUACGUGCCAGCAGCCGCGGUAAUACGUAGGGGGCAAGCGUUAUCCGGAUUUACUGGGUGUAAAGGGAGCGUAGACGGCAGGGCAAGUCUGGAGUGAAAGCCCGGGGCUCAACCCCGGGACUGCUUUGGAAACUGCCAUGCUAGAGUGCUGGAGAGGUAAGCGGAAUUCCUAGUGUAGCGGUGAAAUGCGUAGAUAUUAGGAGGAACACCAGUGGCGAAGGCGGCUUACUGGAUAGUAACUGACGUUGAGGCUCGAAAGCGUGGGGAGCGAACAGGAUUAGAUACCCCAGUAGUC